rnacentral:rRNA from 1 species
CCUACGGGGGGCAGCAGUGGGGAAUAUUGCACAAUGGGGGAAACCCUGAUGCAGCAACGCCGCGUGAAGGAAGACGGUUUUCGGAUUGUAAACCUCUGUUCUAAGUGAAGAAUAAUGACGGUAGCUAAGGAGCAAGCCACGGCUAACUACGUGCCAGCAGCAGCGGUAAUACGUAGGUGGCAAGCGUUGUCCGGAAUUACUGGGUGUAAAGGGAGCGCAGGCGGGUUGCCAAGUCAGCUGUGAAACCUACGGGCUUAACUUGUAUACUGCAGUUGAGACUGGUUUACUUGAGUGAAGGAGAGGGUGGUGGAAUUCCGAGUGUAGCAGUGAAAUGCGUAGAUAUUCGGAAGAACACCGAUGGCGAAGGCAGCCAACUGGGAUUUAACUGACGCUGAGACUCGAAAGUGUGGGGAGCAAACAGGAUUAGAUACCCCAGUAGUC